AUCAUUUUAUUUUGUCUUUAGUACUUGUCAAUCAUUAAUAAACAUAUUUGUUAUUUGAAAGUUUUUCAUUAAACUUUUCUGGCGUUUAUGCCUACGAUUUUUGUACAGUCCUGUAUCGUACGCAGUACUUGAUUUUAGUGUAUUUAUGUUGGUGUUCUUUGAGUGUAUUUAGCUUGUGGUGUCCAGUGAACUUAACUGACAGCAAAACAUGAAAGUGAAUAAUUCUUGAUCAAAAUGUAAAGUGAUCUGAUUUAUUUCAUUUGGAGUCAUCCAGGGGAAUUAGGUUGCUUUUCUUAAGAAAUACAAAUAUCUUGGGACAUUGAGACAUUUUUUUAACAUGACAAGAACUGGUUUUGUGUGAAUCAUAACCAGUCACAACGCCAAAGUUACGACAUGCACUGAACAAUAGAACAUUUGUACAGAAACAACAGCAUAGAAAGUCAACAAGUAAAAAUGUUUCUUUUUUUACAAAACAGACAGCCUUAGGACCUACAAACAACACUCUAUCAGAGCUGGCUAAGUUCUUUCAAAUAUCUUUUUUCCCCCUGGAAACUACGUAUUUUACAAAGACUGAUGGCUUAGACCAGGUUGGGGUCGACUCCACAGAGCUGAAUAUCAAAGAAAAAAAAGAAGAAACAUGUUCUACCAG